GUAUGAUUCUGUCCCUGUGAAGUGCGCAGUAAGUCCAGAGAAAAAGGAGCGUGCUGUUGCCAACGGUGGGGAGCGGGCUUGGAAGGUGAGUGAGGAGAGGGGCCAGUGGUCAGGUGGUGUAGUGUCUCUUUGGAGAGAGGGCAUGUUUUGAAAGUAGGUGUGUCAGCUCUACAACACUGUGAGUGUACUAAUACCAUAGCGCUGUUCACUCCCCCCCCCUUUUUUUUUAUCGGUUUUACUUUAGAAGAAAAGUAAGUGAUUUACAGUUACCGUAGCUUAUACCAGUGUCUUCAUGGGAAUGGGGAGAGAAACUCAGCAGGAUAGAAUUGCUAGGAUCCCAGUAGGGCGGUUUCUGACCUGCAUAUCAUCAGGGCACUGACCGAACCCUCGGGGGAAUCAAGACCAGCAGAUUGUUGGAAAACUCAAGCACACCAGGAGUGUGUGGGGCUGUGAUUCUGAUCUGUAUCAUUGUCCACAUCAAAAUGGCUAAUUUUGGUUUGUGAAAGUCCACAUCAUUUAAAAUGGCUAUAUCAAGAGUAAAAGGAGGCGGUGUGUGUGUGUUCUAGGUCAUCUAGAAUUCUCUAAGAGUUCAUAAGACCUACGAGCAUUCUUGCGCCCUCUGCUGGCAUUUUAAAAGAAACCACUUUCCUUUUUCUGACCAGAAAUAUUACUGAUUCCUAUGAGGAAUGACCCAGAAUUAGAACCUCGUUGGGUUGAUGAGCAGGUCCUCACGUGGGCCCAGACCUACCAGGAGUCAGCACAGCCCUCCUACUCCUUUAUAGCUCAGAUAGAGAAGCCUAGGGAGGGGAAUGAGGUGGAACAACCUGACUGUCUGUCCCAAGAAGAACGUUCUUUUUGUCUCCAGCAACUCCAAGGCACACUCUCCAUUUCUCGGACCUUGUGAUCAUUAUCGGAGUCCCUUGCUCCAAAUUCACUGAGCAAAAUAAGUCUUUGCCUGCAUCAUAGGAAGUUAAUAUAGUCACAAAAAUUGGACUCACACUCACUGUGACAUUUACCAUGUUUUGUAGUAAAGACAGAACCAAAGCACACUCGAGACCUGUUCACUUCAUUGCACACCGACCAUUUCGCCACAGGGAGACUUCCCAGCAGCCCUUGAGCUGAGAAUGUAAUAGGGUAGACCAUUAAAACUCAGCUGUGGUUUAAUGUUUAAGAUAAUCUAAUAAAUCCAAGCACUGGGGAAAUACAGGCAGUGGAUCUCUGCAAGUUCAAGGCCAGCCUUGGAUACAUAGUGAGACCCUGUCUCAAACAAUCAACCAAACAAAAGAUUCUGUAGUAAGUACUUUUGCACUGAUGUGACCAAGUAACUGUCAGAAAUAGCUCAAGGAGGAAGGAUUAAUCUGGGCUUACAGUUUCAGAGAUGGAGGGUCACGGCAGGGAAGGCAUGGUAGAACAGAGCCCGUCACAUCAUGGGAACACAGAAGAGAAUGAUUCUGGGAUCUGGUUUGCCUUUCUCAAGAACCUUCAGCACAACUAAUAAACAGAAUUAUCUGUAGAGAUGUUGUGUUGUCCAGAAGACAUUUCAAACAACAAUGUUGAAAAACCACCAAUAUGCCUCCCUAAGGCUGGAAUGUGUGUAACCUUGUGGCUUGGAACUCCAGUCUCAUCCCUAAACCAAAACAGCCUCUUAAAACCACCUUACCGUUUCAUUU
rnacentral:lncRNA from 1 species